rnacentral:rRNA from 1 species
UACGUAGGGUGCGAGCGUUGUCCGGAAUUACUGGGCGUAAAGAGCUCGUAGGUGGUUUGUCGCGUUGUUCGUGAAAACCGGGGGCUUAACCCUCGGCGUGCGGGCGAUACGGGCAGACUUGAGUACUGCAGGGGAGACUGGAAUUCCUGGUGUAGCGGUGGAAUGCGCAGAUAUCAGGAGGAACACCGGUGGCGAAGGCGGGUCUCUGGGCAGUAACUGACGCUGAGGAGCGAAAGCGUGGGGAGCGAAAAGG